AUUAGCUUGUUGGUAAGGUAACGGCUUACCAAGGCUACGAUCUGUAUCCGGUCUAAGAGGACGUUCGGACACACUGACACUGAAUAACGGGUCAGACUCCUACGGGAGGCAGCAGUCGGGAAUUUUGGGCAAUGGGCGAAAGCCUGACCCAGCAACGCCGCGUGAAGGAUGAAGUAUUUCGGUAUGUAAACUUCGAAAGAAUAGGAAGAAUAAAUGACGGUACUAUUUAUAAGCUCCGGCUAACUACGUGCCAGCAGCCGCGGUAAUACGUAGGGAGCAAGCGUUGUUCGGAUUUACUGGGCGUAAAGGGCGCGUAGGCGGCGCGGUAAGUCACUUGUGAAAUCUCUGAGCUUAACUCAGAACGGCCAAGUGAUACUGCAGUGCUAGAGUGCAGAAAGGGCAAUCAGAAUUCUUGGUGUAGCGGUGAAAUGCGUAGAUAUCAAGAGGAAUACCUGAGGCGAAGGCGGGUUGCUAGGCUGACACUGACGCUGAGGCGCGAAAGCUAGGGGAGCAAACGGGAUUAGAUACCCCGGUAGUCCUAGCCCU
rnacentral:rRNA from 1 species